rnacentral:rRNA from 1 species
GAUGAACGCUGGCGGCGUGCCUAAUACAUGCAAGUCGAGCGAACGGACGAGAAGCUUGCUUCUCUGAUGUUAGCGGCGGACGGGUGAGUAACACGUGGAUAACCUACCUAUAAGACUGGGAUAACUUCGGGAAACCGGAGCUAAUACCGGAUAAUAUUUUGAACCGCAUGGUUCAAAAGUGAAAGACGGUCUUGCUGUCACUUAUAGAUGGAUCCGCGCUGCAUUAGCUAGUUGGUAAGGUAACGGCUUACCAAGGCAACGAUGCAUAGCCGACCUGAGAGGGUGAUCGGCCACACUGGAACUGAGACACGGUCCAGACUCCUACGGGAGGCAGCAGUAGGGAAUCUUCCGCAAUGGGCGAAAGCCUGACGGAGCAACGCCGCGUGAGUGAUGAAGGUCUUCGGAUCGUAAAACUCUGUUAUUAGGGAAGAACAUAUGUGUAAGUAACUGUGCACAUCUUGACGGUACCUAAUCAGAAAGCCACGGCUAACUACGUGCCAGCAGCCGCGGUAAUACGUAGGUGGCAAGCGUUAUCCGGAAUUAUUGGGCGUAAAGCGCGCGUAGGCGGUUUUUUAAGUCUGAUGUGAAAGCCCACGGCUCAACCGUGGAGGGUCAUUGGAAACUGGAAAACUUGAGUGCAGAAGAGGAAAGUGGAAUUCCAUGUGUAGCGGUGAAAUGCGCAGAGAUAUGGAGGAACACCAGUGGCGAAGGCGACUUUCUGGUCUGUAACUGACGCUGAUGUGCGAAAGCGUGGGGAUCAAACAGGAUUAGAUACCCUGGUAGUCCACGCCGUAAACGAUGAGUGCUAAGUGUUAAGGGGUUUCCGCCCCUUAGUGCUGCAGCUAACGCAUUAAGCACUCCGCCUGGGGAGUACGACCGCAAGGUUGAAACUCAAAGGAAUUGACGGGGACCCGCACAAGCGGUGGAGCAUGUGGUUUAAUUCGAAGCAACGCGAAGAACCUUACCAAAUCUUGACAUCCUCUGACCCCUCUAGAGAUAGAGUUUUCCCCUUCGGGGGACAGAGUGACAGGUGGUGCAUGGUUGUCGUCAGCUCGUGUCGUGAGAUGUUGGGUUAAGUCCCGCAACGAGCGCAACCCUUAAGCUUAGUUGCCAUCAUUAAGUUGGGCACUCUAAGUUGACUGCCGGUGACAAACCGGAGGAAGGUGGGGAUGACGUCAAAUCAUCAUGCCCCUUAUGAUUUGGGCUACACACGUGCUACAAUGGACAAUACAAAGGGUAGCGAAACCGCGAGGUCAAGCAAAUCCCAUAAAGUUGUUCUCAGUUCGGAUUGUAGUCUGCAACUCGACUAUAUGAAGCUGGAAUCGCUAGUAAUCGUAGAUCAGCAUGCUACGGUGAAUACGUUCCCGGGUCU